rnacentral:sRNA from 12 species
CCCUCGGAGUAUUGUAUCAUACGAAAGUAGUGUAUUCUUAGGAACGACAAAAUCAGACACGUUGAACAGGGAA